rnacentral:rRNA from 1 species
UACGUAGGGUCCGAGCGUUGUCCGGAAUUAUUGGGCGUAAAGAGCUCGUAGGCGGUUUGUCGCGUCUGCUGUGAAAUCCCGAGGCUCAACUCCGGGCCUGCAGUGGGUACGGGCUGACUAGAGUGCGGUAGGGGAGACUGGAAUUCCUGGUGUAGCGGUGAAAUGCGCAGAUAUCAGGAGGAACACCGGUGGCGAAGGCGGUUCUCUGGGCCUUACCUGACACUGAGGAGCGAAAGCGUGGGGAGCGAACAGG